AUGCUCACUUUGGCACCACAUAUACUAAAAUUGGCACGAUACAGAGAAGAUUAACAUGGCCCUUGCACAAGGAUGACAUGCAAAUUUGUUAAGCGCUCCAUAUUUUU